AACAUACUUCCUCCGUCCGGAAAUACUUCUCAUCAAAAUGAAUAAAAGAGGAUGUAUCUAGAUGUAUAUUAGUUCUAGAUAAAUCUUUUUUUAUCCAUUUUGAUGACAAGUAUUUUCGGACGGAGGGAGUACUUA
rnacentral:pre_miRNA from 1 species